CUGGUGAGUAACACGUGGAUAACCUACCUAUAAGACUGGGAUAACUUCGGGAAACCGGAGCUAAUACCGGAUAAUAUAUUGAACCGCAUGGUUCAAUAGUGAAAGACGGUUUUGCUGUCACUUAUAGAUGGAUCCGCGCCGCAUUAGCUAGUUGGUAAGGUAACGGCUUACCAAGGCAACGAUGCGUAGCCGACCUGAGAGGGUGAUCGGCCACACUGGAACUGAGACACGGUCCAGACUCCUACGGGAGGCAGCAGCU
rnacentral:rRNA from 1 species